UUAUGACCUGGGUACACACGUGUACAAUGGACAGAACAAAGGGUGGAGCCGCAAGGUUUAGCCAGUCCCACAAAUUUGGUUUCACUCGGGAUCGCGGUCUGAAACUCGACUGCGUGAAGCUGGAAUCGCUAGUAAUCGCGGAUCAGCAUGCCGCGGUGAAUACGUUCCCGGGCCUUGUACACACCGCCCGUCACACCACGAGAGUUUGCAACACCCGAAGUCGGUGAGGUAACCUUUAUGGAGCCAGCCGCCGAAGGUGGGGCAGAUGAUUGGGGGG
rnacentral:rRNA from 1 species